rnacentral:rRNA from 1 species
CAGUCGCCACGGGAAUACAGAGGGUGCGAGCGUUAAUCGGAUUUACUGGGCGUAAAGCGUGCGUAGGCGGCUUCUUAAGUCGGAUGUGAAAUCCCUGAGCUUAACUUAGGAAUUGCAUUCGAUACUGGGAAGCUAGAGUAUGGGAGAGGAUGGUAGAAUUCCAGGUGUAGCGGUGAAAUGCGUAGAGAUCUGGAGGAAUACCGAUGGCGAAGGCAGCCAUCUGGCCUAAUACUGACGCUGAGGUACGAAAGCAUGGGGAGCAAACAGGAUUAGAUACCCCUGUAGUCCCUGUCUCUUAUAC